rnacentral:rRNA from 1 species
CCUACGGGGGGCAGCAGUGAGGAAUAUUGGUCAAUGGCCGGAAGGCUGAACCAGCCAAGCCGCGUGAGGGAGGAAGGCGCAGAGCGUCGCAGACCUCUUUUGCCGGGGGACAAAAGGCCGGACUCGUCCGGUCCUGAGGGUACCCGGAGAAAAAGCCUCGGCUAACUCCGUGACAGCAGACGCGGUCAUACGGAGGGUGCGAGCGUUAAUCGGAAUUACUGGGCGGAAGGCGCUCGUAGGCGGUAUGGCAAGUCCAGGGUGAAAUCCCCGCGCUCAACGUGGGAACUGCCGUUGAAACUGGCAAACUGGAGUGUGUGAGAGGAUAGGGGAAUUCCAGGUGUAGGAGUGAAAUGCGUAGAUAUCUGGAGGAACAUCAGUGGCGAAGGCGACUAUCUGGCACAUAACUGACGCUGAGGAGCGAAAGCGUGGGUAGCAAACAGGAUUAGAUACCCUAGUAGUC